UUAGUGCCAGGGGUUUAUCCGUGCCGGAUUGUGCCAUGCAGUGCGAUAGCGCUUCGAAUUGACGAUCGUGACCAAACAUCGCGACGCAGUUCACCACUGUACGCAAACAGCGAGGGCGCUGCUUGGCGUUAAAACGGUUAAAGGUACGAUAUCAUUUAGAGAAAUAAGUCUAUGUCUAGAUAAGUGAGUUCGAGUUUAGUUUGGGUUAGAUUUCCAUUGCAUUCGUAUUUGAAUUAGAUUUGGAUUAAAUUUCGAUUACGUUAGACUUCGAUAAUUUAACUACAAGUAGUGAUGGUAGUCGUACUAAUAAAAUAGUCGAAUUAGCGGUCGGCGAAAGAAUAGAUGAGAGAGGGAGAACGCUUCCACAAAGUGGAAUGACGAGUUUGCCGAUUGUCUAUCGGAAUUCCUAUAGCUUCAUUUUUUGCCAUCAUGGUAAAAUUGACUCGAUGGAAUUGUCGAGGGAAACAACCCGAAAGCAGUACAUUUUUAAAUACGGCAGGUGAUGUUAAAAUUCAACUUUGGGUUCAACGUAGGAAGAAUAGGAUUCGUUUGUAAGAAUUUAUGUUCAAGACAUGUUGAGUCAAUAUAAACGCUGAGCCAACGUUUAUUGAGACUGAUGGAGAUAAUUAAUCAUCCAACGGUAACAUGUUGCGCAAGGUAGAAACUAUGGAUGAAUUUUAUACGGAUAUGCGUGCAAAAGUGACGUCACGGGAAUUCUUGUAUACAAUCGAAAAACAAGAUUUAGUUAAAAUGAUAUUUUGCGAUUCUGCAACAACUUUUAAUGAAUUAAGGAAAAACGGUCGUCGUUUAUCUGCUGAGAGCACAGUAUGGAGCGAAUGUUGGGAGAACUUUUGGAGAUCGCAGAAAUUUAUCGUGCACGUUAUGCACCAAAGGAGAAGAAUAUCGAGUAGCGGCUUUAAAACAUUUGUAUAAAGUCAAAAUACAUGCCCGAAAAAAGGAUGAAGAGGAAAAAUUGUGCGACUGAAGAAAUCCGUCUUGGAAUAAAAUAUGUUAUUAAUUACCUCGAUUACUUCCUCGAGGUAAUACGACAGUCGUACCUAAUGGUGGCACAUAUCCUCCAAUAGAGGAAAAGAGGAGGAGACUUUAAUGGUAAUUUCGGCUGAGUCAUCCUUAUAAUUAAUGUGAAUUUAAUUAUUUAGGUUACAAUAUCAGAUAGAGAUAUUAAAAUAUAAACUGCAAGCAAAUUGUAAAUCUUGUAAAAGAAAGUUCGAAAAUAUACUGAUAUAUACUUGA